UGAUUCUAAGCUGUUACCACGGCUGGGAUCACCGCUUUAAAAGGAAGGGGGAGCACAGGAGGCUCCAGCAAGGAGCCUCUGAGGGCUAUUGCCAGUGAGACACCACACAUUCAGUUAGGUGGCCGUGGGGGCUAGUUUAUCACCAUCAUCAUUGUCACGGUCAUUACUGCUGCUCCUGCUACCUUUACUGAAGCACAAAGUAUGGGAGCGGGGCGGGGAAAUAGCAAAGAGGAAACCUUCCAGGAAAGUGCUUGGUACAGACAAACAGAAAGGAACUGGAAGUCUCCAAGUACUGCAGAACUAACCCGAGGCUCGGGGCGCCUGGGGGGCUCAGUCAGGGAAGACGUGAUCUCCUUCGUUUCCCCACACAGAUCUGUCGUUGUGACGUGCCCUCAGUAAUCUGUACACCCGACGUGGGGCUCAGACUCAAGCCCAGAGGAUCAGGACUGCAUGCUCCACCCACUAAGCCAGCCGGGCGCCCCUCCUCUCAUAAUGUGAAGCAGCUAGCUGAAAACGGAGUCAUCUUAUCUGAGGAAGUGAUUAAACGCAUA